rnacentral:rRNA from 1 species
UAAAAAAGUUCCCUGGAAUGGGGCGACAUGGAGGGUGAAAUCCCCGUCUUUGGCCAGAGUUCAGCCGUGCGUUUGCUUUGCUGCGAAGAGUCAGGUUGUUUGGGAAUGCAGCCUAAAAUGGGAGGUAGACUUCUCCUAAAGCUAAAUAUUGACGAAAGACCGAUAGCGAACAAGUACCGUGAGGGAAAGAUGAAAAGCACUUUGAAAAGAGGGUCAAAAAGUACGUGAAAUUGCUGAAAGGGAACCGUAUGAAAUCAGCCUGAUGUAUGGGUAAUCAGCCUGGGCUUUGGCCUGGGUGCACUUGCCCAUGUAUUAGCCUGCGACAGUUUGACCUGGGGGAAAAAAGAUGGGGGAAUGUGGCCUCGGCUUCGGUCGAGGUGUUAUAGCCCCUGUCAAAAUACCUUGGGUUGGACUGAGGACUGCAGCGAGCCGUAAGGCAUGGGUCUCGGGCGCUCUGUCUUGGCGAAAAGUGAAUCUCUGCUUCGGGUGGUGCGCUUUUCUUCAGGGCAGACUCGCCUGUUUCUUCUUUCUCUCGCUUAGGUCGUAGGCAUAAUGAUUUUAUAUGACCCGUCUUGAAACACGGACCAAGGAGUCCACCAUAGUUGCGAGUCUUUGAGUGUAAAAACCCAUGGGCGUAAGGAAACUGACCAAGAUAUGAAGGCCUUUUGGCUGGCAAUAUCCUCCGGCGAGGACGUUUUAUACUGAAUUGACCGAGAGAAAGCACCUAUGAUGGGACCCGAAAGAUGGUGAACUAUACUUGAAUAGGGUGAAGCCAGAGGAAACUCUGGUGGAAGCUCGUAGCGAUUCUGACGUGCAAAUCGAUCGUCAAAUUUGAGUAUAGGGGCGAAAGACUAAUCGAACC